GGGGGGGCAAGCGUUUGUUCGGAAUUACUGGGCGUAAAGGGCGCGUAGGCGGCCCGGCCAGUCCCUUGUGAAAUCCCACAGCUCAACUGUGGAACUGCAGGGGAUACUGCCAGGCUUGAGUCCGGGAGAGGGGAGUGGAAUUCCCAGUGUAGCGGUGAAAUGCGUAGAUAUUGGGAGGAACACCGGUGGCGAAGGCGGCUCCCUGGACCGGUACUGACGCUGAGGCGCGAAAGCUAGGGGAGCAAACGGGAUUAGAUACCCCGGGUAGUCCUAGCUGUAAACGUUGAGCACUUGGUGUGGCGGGUAUCGACCCCCUGCUGUGCCGAAGCUAACCGCAUUAAGUGCUCCGCCUGGGGAGUACGGUCGCAAGGCUG
rnacentral:rRNA from 1 species